UCAAGCAGAAAUGCCAUAGAGUGCACCUAGUCACGUGACCCGCAGGUCCUGGUACGCUACGCACAGGGUUGUAAAGAUGAAGAGCAGCGAGGAAAUGGAAAGCAUUUAUCUAUUACCGCUAAAUUCAUGAUAAUCAAUGGAUUAUGCAACGGCUCGAUAUGCAUCAGUGAGUCAAGACUCAGGGGGCCAAGAAGGUCAACCACCUCAAAGGGCAGAGAGAGAUGGAAGCUCAUGCCAGGAUAGGGAUAAGAGGGCUUGAAUCUGACAAAACCAGAGAUAAGUUCUGGCGAGAUUGACAUAUCUAUUUAAUGUGAUGGUGAGAACGUUAGGUAUACUUGAAAAAGGAGGCGUGGUCUCCGAAACGUCGUAAGGUGUCAACGCAAGCUCCAGUCGGUUCCCCUUCGUGAGAGGAAGGUCAUCUUGCUAACAGGAAGCCCGGACAUGGGGUGAAAAUUUCCUACAGCUUGAAGAGUGUCUUUUGAUAAUUUUGUAUGAUCAACUUUUUGCUAUAUUUUGCUAAAGACAUUGUG